UGCUUUCUUAUGUGACCACAUGACAUGAGAAAACAAUUUCCCAUAUGCUGAUUUCAGGAAAGCUUGCUUUCUCAAGAGCAUACUCUGUCUAAAGCAUUUACUCUGCAGUUAAGUAGCAACUUUGGUAACCAACGGUACUAGUGGUGAUUAGGCUGCAAGCAAAAAAAUGAGAUGGGUCUUGUAUCUCACGCUGCUGUGGAGCUACUGUCCUGUCUGCAAGUGCUCUGCCUUGUGUAUCCUUGAGGAACAGCAACAACAAAAAGAAUGCUCUAAAUUGGGCCACUGCCGCGAAGUUUCUGCCACCUGCAUUUGUCCAACUCAAAACGAACUACAGGAAGAAGCAAGAACAAUGAAGCUGUUUUUAUUAUCAAUAGGAAGAGCAAUCAACAUGUUUGUCAGUUCUAUCUACAUUUCUUUUGUCAUGGGAAUUUUUUGAAAAAUAAAAAUCAUAUUGGUGACUA